rnacentral:tRNA from 1 species
GCGUCGGUGGCGGAGCGGUCAAUCGCACGGGACUGUAAAUCCCGCGACUUAAUGUCUACGCAGGUUCGAAUCCUGCCCGGCGCA